CAGGCCGUGUCAGUGGCACUGUAUUGUCCUCAAAGCGGGCAAAAACGGGCAAAAAGUUAUUUAGUCUGCCUGGGAGCAAGACAUCCUGGUCCGUGACUGGGCUGGGUUUCUUCCUGUAGUCCGUGAUUGACUGUAGACCCUGCCACAUACCUCUUGUGUCUGAGCCGUUGAAUUGAGAUUCUACUUUGUCUCUGUACUGGCGCUUAGCUUGUUUGAUAGCCUUGCGGAGGGAAUAGCUGCACUGUUUGUAUUCAGUCAUGUUACCAGACACCUUGCCCUGAUUAAAAGCAGUGGUUCGUGCCUUCAGUUUCACACGAAUGCUGCCAUCAAUCCACGGUUUCUGGUUAGGGAAUGUUUUAAUCGUUGCUAUGGGAACGACAUCUUCAACGCACGUUCUAAUGAACUCGCACACCGUAUCAGCGUAUUCGUCAAUGUUGUUGUCUGACGCAAUACGAAACAUCUCCCAGUCCACGUGAUGGAAGCAGUCUUGGAGUGUGGAGUCAGCUUGGUCGGACCAGCGUUGGACAGACCUCAGCGUGGGAGCUUCUUGUUUUAGUUUCUGUCUGUAGGCAGGGAUCAACAAAAUGGAGUCGUGGUCAGCUUUUCCGAAAGGGGGCGGGGCAGGGCCUUAUAUGCGUCGCGGAAGUUAGAGUAACAAUGAUCCAGGGUCUUUCCACCCCUGGUUGCGCAAUCGAUAUGCUGAUAAAAUUUAGGGAGUCUUGUUUUCAGAUUAGCCUUGUUAAAAUCCCCAGCUACAAAUGAAUGCAGCCUCCGGAUAAAUCGUUUCCAGUUUGCAGAGAGUUAAAUAAAGUUCGUUCAGAGCCAUCGAUGUGUCUGCUUGGGGGGGGAUAUAUACGGCUGUGAUUAUAAUCGAAGAGAAUUCUCUUGGUAGAUAAUGCGGUCUACAUUUGAUUGUGAGGAAUUCUAAAUCAGGUGAACAGAAGGAUUUGAGUUCCUGUAUGUUUCUUUCAUCACACCAUGUCACGUUGGCCAUAAGGCAUACGCCCCCGCCCCUCUUCUUACCAGAAAGAAGUUUGUCUCUGUCGGCGCGAUGCGUGGAGAAACCCGCUGGCUGCACCGCUUCGGAUAGCGUCUCUCCAGUGAGCCAUGUUUCCGUGAAGCAAAGAACGUUACAGUCUCUGAUG
ensembl:lncRNA